rnacentral:rRNA from 1 species
AAUAUUGGGCAAUGGAGGCAACUGUGAUCCAGCCAUGCCGGGUGCAGGAUGACGGCCGUAUGGGUUGUAAAGUGAUUUUAUAUAGGAAGAAACCUUUUCACGUGUGAGAAGCUGACGGUACUAUAAGAAUAAGGACCGGCUAAUUCCGUGCCAGCAGCCGCGGUAAUACGGAGGGUCCGAGCGUUAUCCGGAAUCAUGGGGUUUAAAGGGUCCGUAGGCGGAAAUCUAAGUCAGUAGUGAAAUCAGCAGCUCAACUGUAUAAUUGCCAUUGAUACUGGGUUUCUUGAAUUAGUGUGAAGUGGUUAGAAUGUGUAGUGUAGCGGUGAAAUGCAUAUAUAUUACACAGAAUACCAAUUGGAAGGCAGAUCACUGCACUAUAUUGACGCUGAGGGACGAAAGCGUGGGGAGCGAACAGGAUUAGAUACCCUGGUAGUCC